GACAAACGCGCACAAAAACUUUUCAAGGUUUGGUCUCGGCAAAAGAAUCCGUCGACGCGUCGCUCUCACCUGGUUCCGUUCAGGUGCUCGCUGUGAUGGGAUGAUGAACAACAACAACAGGAAGUACAAGUGCAGGAUGCGUGCGGCGCGAGGACUCACGCGGCGGCGUGGGCCACGACGAGGAGGUCGCGGUUGUCGAGGAGGGCGGCGUGCGGCAGCUCCACCAGCGCCAGGUACGAAAGCUCCAUGGCCAGCAUGAGCAGCAGCUUGCCCAGGCUGUGAGCCUGCAGGAACACCGAGCACGCCAGCAGGCUCAGCACCACGCACCACGAAAAGUACUGAGGGGGGAGGAGACACAAAAGCCGCUUUUAACGCUUGGACCGCCGCGCCUCAAUCCGUCACGACUCACAUGGGCAUGAUGACAACAUGGAUGCAGCAGAUGAAGACGAAGACGAGGGAGGCACAUGCCACGUACACGCCGAAGCGCGAGUCCACUUGUCGGGAGUACUGCACGGGCAAACAUCACAAGUGACCUUCCGAGUUAUGAUGCCCGACGUCAAGACGGAGACGAGGACCGGCGCCGACCUUGCUCUCCAGGUCGGCCUCCCGGAAGAUCUUGUGAAACAUCAUGUCUUCCUGCUUGGCGUUGAUGUCUGCCUUCAUCUCCAUGGCAACGUGGCGGGGAAGCACCGACAAUAGCAGACGCUCCUGAAAAAAAAGACCCGCCCCACACAUAAAAAAAGAAAGAAAGAAAGCAAAAAUCCAGAUGUGAUGACCUUGUUUAUUAAGGCGAGCUUGGAUGCAUUCCCGCGUCUCCCGGAAGGCCUGCCUCUGAGAGCCCUCCGCCGGGUAAUGUGUACAAACACCCACGAUGUUGGUGCACGAGAAAAUCAGCACAUUGGACACCAGCUGCAACACAA